rnacentral:rRNA from 1 species
GACGAACGCUGGCGGCGUGCUUAACACAUGCAAGUCGAACGGAAAGGCCCUGCUUUUGUGGGGUGCUCGAGUGGCGAACGGGUGAGUAACACGUGAGUAACCUGCCCUUGACUUGGGGAUAACUUCAGGAAACUGGGGCUAAUACCGGAUAGGAGCUCCUGCUGCAUGGUGGGGGUUGGAAAGUUUCGGAGGUUGGGGAUGGACUCGCGGCUUAUCAGCUUGUUGGUGGGGUAGUGGCUUACCAAGGCUUUGACGGGUAGCCGGCCUGGGAGGGUGAACGGCCACAUUGGGACUGAGAUACGGCCCAGACUCCUACGGGAGGCAGCAAUGGGGAAUAUUGCACAAUGGGCGGAAGCCUGAUGCAGCAACGCCGCGUGCGGGAUGACGGCCUUCGUGUUGUAAACCGCUUUCGCCUGUGACGAAGCGUGAGUGACGGUAAUGGGUAAAGAAGCACCGGCUAACUACGUG